rnacentral:rRNA from 1 species
GACGAACGCUGGCGGCGUGCUUAACACAUGCAAGUCGAACGGAAAGGCCCUGCUUUUGUGGGGUGCUCGAGUGGCGAACGGGUGAGUAACACGUGAGUAACCUGCCCUUGACUUUGGGAUAACUUCAGGAAACUGGGGCUAAUACCGGAUAGGAGCUCCUGCUGCAUGGUGGGGGUUGGAAAGUUUCGGCGGUUGGGGAUGGACUCGCGGCUUAUCAGCUUGUUGGUGGGGUAGUGGCUUACCAAGGCUUUGACGGAUAGCCGGCCUGAGAGGGGGACCGGCCACAUUGGGACUGAGAGACGGCCCAGACUCCAACGGGAGGCAGCAGUGGGGAGUAUGACACAAUGGGCGGAAGCCUGAUGCAGAAACGCCGCGUGCGGGAUGACGGCCUUCGGGUUGUAAACCGCUUUCGCCUGUGACGAAGCGUGAGUGACGGUAAUGGGUAAAGAAGCACCGGCUAACUACGUG